rnacentral:rRNA from 1 species
AGUGAACGCUGGCGGUAGGCCUAACACAUGCAAGUCGAACGGGAGCACAGAGGAGCUUGCUCCUUGGGUGGCGAGUGGCGGACGGGUGAGGAAUACAUCGGAAUCUACUCUGUCGUGGGGGAUAACGUAGGGAAACUUACGCUAAUACCGCAUACGACCUACGGGUGAAAGCAGGGGAUCUUCGGACCUUGCGCGAUUGAAUGAGCCGAUGUCGGAUUAGCUAGUUUGCGGGGUAAAGGCCCACCAAGGCGACGAUCCGUAGCUGGUCUGAGAGGAUGAUCAGCCACACUGGAACUAAGACACGGUCCAGACUCCUACGGGAGGCAGCAGUGGGUAAUAUUGGACAAUGGGCGCAAGCCUGAUCCAGCCAUACCGCGUGGGUGAAGAAGGCCUUCGGGUUGUAAAGCCCUUUUGUUGGGAAAGAAAUCCAUCUGGUUAAUACCCGGGUGGGAUGACGGUACCCAAAGAAUAAGCACCGGCUAACUUCGCGCCAGCCGCCGCCGUAA